UUACGGUCAUAUCACGUUGAAACAACUGUACUGGUACGAUCACCGAAGUUAAGCAACGUCGUGCCGGGUCAAUAGCUUGCUGGGUGACCACUUGGAAGCACCACGUGC